rnacentral:tRNA from 7 species
GCGCCCAUAGCUCAGUUGGAUAGAGCAGCAGUUUCCUAAACUGCGUGUCGGAUGUUCGAGUCAUCUUGGGCGCACCA